rnacentral:rRNA from 1 species
UACGAAGGGGCUAGCGUUGCUCGGAAUCACUGGGCGUAAAGGGUGCGUAGGCGGGUCUUUAAGUCAGGGGUGAAGUCCUGGAGCUCAACUCCAGAACUGCCUUUGAUACUGGGGAUCUCGAGUCCGGGAGAGGUGAGUGGAACUGCGAGUGUAGAGGUGAAAUUCGUAGAUAUUCGCAAGAACACCAGUGGCGAAGGCGGCUCACUGGCCCGGAACUGACG